rnacentral:rRNA from 1 species
UACGAAGGGGGCUAGCGUUGUUCGGAAUUACUGGGCGUAAAGCGCGCGUAGGCGGUUCGGUAAGUUAGAUGUGAAAGCCCGGGGCUCAACUCCGGAAUUGCAUUUAAGACUGCCAGACUAGAGGCCGAGAGAGGUGAGUGGAAUUCCCAGUGUAGAGGUGAAAUUCGUAGAGAUUGGGAAGAACACCAGUGGCGAAGGCGGCUCACUGGCUCGGUGCUGACGAUGAGGCGCGAAAGAGUGGGGAGCAAACAGG